rnacentral:rRNA from 1 species
UACGAAGGGGGCGAGCGUUGUUCGGAUUUACUGGGCGUAAAGGGCGCGCAGGCGGCUCAUUUUGUCAGGCGUGAAAGCCCCGGGCUUAACCUGGGAACUGCGUUCGAUACGGAUGGGCUAGAGUUCGGGAGAGGAGAGUGGAAUUCCUGGUGUAGCGGUGAAAUGCGCAGAUAUCAGGAAGAACACCAAUGGCGAAAGCAGCUCUCUGGGACGGUACUGACGCUGAGACGCGAAAGCGUGGGAGCGAACAGGA